UACAGAGGUCUCAAGCGUUGUUCGGAUUCAUUGGGCGUAAAGGGUGCGUAGGCGGCGCGGUAAGUCGGGUGUGAAAUCCCUCAGCUCAACUGAGGACGUGCAUCCGAAACUGCAAGGCUUGAGUACUGAAGAGGAUCGCGGAAUUCCCGGUGUAGAGGUGAAAUUCGUAGAUAUCGGGAGGAACACCAGUGGCGAAGGCGGCGAUCUGGGCAGAUACUGACGCUGAGGUGCGAAAGCGUGGGGAGCAAACAGG
rnacentral:rRNA from 1 species